UACAGAGGGUGCGAGCGUUGUCCGGAAUCACUGGGCGUAAAGGGCGCGUAGGUGGCUAGGUAAGCGUGUGGUGAAAGUCCGGGGCUCAACCCCGGAUCUGCCAUGCGAACUGCCCGGCUUGAGCAUAGUAGAGGCACGUGGAAUUCCGGGUGUAGCGGUGGAAUGCGUAGAUAUAGGAAGGAUCACCAGUGGCGAAGGCGACCACCUGGACUGAUACUGACACUGAGGUGCGAAAGCGUGGGGAGCAAACAGG
rnacentral:rRNA from 1 species